rnacentral:lncRNA from 1 species
GGGAAAAUAAUGCUGAGACAGUCUGAACUUUUUGUUAGAGUUCAUGAAUUUUUAGGAGCUGUCGAGGCUUUAAUGCUGCUUUGAAAUGGAGAACGGAAGGAAGCAUGGAGAGUUUCCUGUUUGUUCUGCUCGGUUUCAGUUCCAUGAAGAGGUUUCUGCUUUGGGGACCUUCUCCCACCACAGCUUGCAGUUCUGUUUUAGUCAGCUUCUGAAUGUCGAUAACCAAAGAUGUUUACUGUCCUUCCGUGGAAGGAAAAGAACAGAAGAAGGAACUCUUCUGUUUAUUCCUCAGAUCUGUGUGGCAAAGAUCUUUCGGCUGUGUUCUCAAGAUCUGUGUAUCUGUGUGUACUUGGUGCCCAUGAAGAACAGAAGAAGUAUCAGAUUCCUCGGAACUGGAGUUACAAGCUGUUGCGAGCUGGCAUGUGUGUGCUCUGAAUCAAAUCUGGAUCAUCGGCUCCACGAGUGAAAUUUUCAACGAAUCAAUAAACUUUUUAAAGUCAAGUUUAAUUAAAGAAAA